GAGUGUUUUACACGGAUCCUUUGUAGCGGUGUUGUUCAAAGGUGUAAUAGAUUUUUAUCUCCAUCUGAAGGAGGUUGAAUAGUGAAUUUGGGGAUCCUCAAGGGGUAGUCUGAGGCAGGGACGUAGACAGUGAGACCGAACCUCGUUAACAUACUGAAUUCGGUUUCACCGAGUUUUAUAAAGAGCUUGAACCACCAAGUAUUGAGCAUGAGUAGCAAUCUCAACAUGCUUGACUCAAUGAUCCUCGAUACCGUGUCUUUCGAGGAGCUUUUGGGCCACUGCAACAAGAACUACAAGAAGAGCCAAAGUGAUCCUUUUGAGCUCCAAGACUGCCUCAAGAGAUGUUGAAAUUGGUGAUGAAGAAGAGAUUCCCAAUAUAUCUACACCGCUUUGCUUGGAAUCCUAGAAAGGAUUGGCUCUACCAUCUUCUAUUUCGGACAAGAUUGUACAACAGGUUCUAUUAUCAAGAGUUUGGAAGAAGAUACUUUGUAUCAUUGAACCAUUUUUUUGUUUGUUAUGCUUAAGUUGUCUACUACAAAGUCAGAUAUCUUAAAAGGUGGAAUGAGGAUUUUUCUUGUGUUUCAUGAUACUUUGAAUUUAUCAUCAAAGGCCAAUGCUUUGAUGUAAGAGACGACCUUGAUAGUGAAUUCAUAGAUCGA